rnacentral:rRNA from 1 species
AUACGGAGGGUGCAAGCGUUAAUCGGAAUUACUGGGCGUAAAGCGUACGUAGGCGGUCCGUUAAGUUUGAUGUGAAAGCCCCGGGCUUAACCUGGGAACUGCAUUUAAAACUGGCGAACUAGAGUUGAGUAGGGGGGAGUGGAAUUUCAGGUGUAGCGGUGAAAUGCGUAGAGAUCUGAAGGAACACCAGUGGCGAAGGCGACUCCCUGGACUCGAACUGACGCUGAGGUACGAAAGCGUGGGUAGCAAACGGGAUUAGAAACCCUAGUAGUCC